AGCGAACGCUGGCGGCAGGCCUAACACAUGCAAGUCGAACGAACCUUUCGGGGUUAGUGGCGGACGGGUGAGUAACACGUGGGAACGUGCCUUUAGGUUCGGAAUAACUCAGGGAAACUUGUGCUAAUACCGAAUGUGCCCUUCGGGGGAAAGAUUUAUCGCCUUUAGAGCGGCCCGCGUCUGAUUAGCUAGUUGGUUGAGGUAAUGGCUCACCAAGGCGACGAUCAGUAGCUGGUCUGAGAGGAUGAUCAGCCACAUUGGGACUGAGACACGGCCCACACUCCUACGGGAGGCAGCAGUGGGGAAGCUUGCGCACUGGGCGAAAGCCUGACGCAGCCAUGCCGCGUGAAUGAUGAAGGUCUUAGGAUUGUAAAAUUCUUUCACCGGGGACGAUAAUGACGGUACCCGGAGAAGAAGCCCCGGCUAACUUCGUG
rnacentral:rRNA from 1 species